CAUGCAGUCGAACGAUGAAGCUUCUAGCUCGCUAGAGUGGAUUAGUGGCGCACGGGUGAGGAAUAUAUAGCUAAUGUGCCCCUUAGAGGGGGAUAACAGUUGGAAACGACUGCUAAUACCCCAUACUCCUUCUUACUAUAAGGUAAGUUGGGAAAGUUUUUUCGCUAAGGGAUCGGGCUAUACGGUAUCAGCUUGUUGGUGAGGUAAUGGCUCACCAAGGCUAUGACGCCUAUCUGGUCUGAGAGGAUGAUCAGACACACUGGAACUGAGACACGGUCCAGACUCCUACGGGAGGCAGCAGUGGGGAAUAUUACACAAUGGAGGAAACUCUGAUGUAGCAACGCCGCGUGGAGGAUGACACAUUUCGGUGCGUAAACUCCUUUUAUAUGGGAAGAUAAUGACGGUACCAUAUGAAUAAGCACCGGCUAACUCCGUGCCAGCAGCCGCGGUAAUACGGAGGGUGCAAGCGUUACUCGGAAUCACUGGGCGUAAAGCGCGCGCAGGCGGCCCGUUAAGUUGGAUGUGAAAUCCUAUGGCUCAACCAUAGAACUGCAUCCAAAACUGAUGGGCUAGAGUCUGGGAGGGGAAGAUGGAAUUAGUGGUGUAGGGGUAAAAUCCGUAGAGAUCACUAGGAAUAUCAAAAGCGAAGGCGAUCUGCUGGGAUGAUACUGACGCUGAGGCACGAAAGCGUGGGGAGCAAACAGGAUUAGAUACCCUGGUAGUCCACGCCCUAAACGAUGAAUGCUAGUCGUCGGGGAGCUCGUCUCUUCGGUGAUGCACUUAACAGAUUAAGCAUUCCGCCUGGGGAGUACGGUCGCAAGAUUAAAACUCAAAGGAAUAGACGGGGACCCGCACAAGUGGUGGAGCAUGUGGUUUAAUUCGAAGAUACACGAAGAACCUUACCUGGCCUUGACAUGGUAGAACCCUUAAGAGAUUAGGGGGUGCUAGCUUGCUAGACCUACACACAGGUGCUGCACGGCUGUCGUCAGCUCGUGUCGUGAGAUGUUGGGUUAGUCCCGCAACGAGCGCACCUCGUCCUUAGUUGCUAACAGUUCGGCUGAG
rnacentral:rRNA from 1 species